rnacentral:tRNA from 1 species
GGGCCCGUAGCUCAGCGGCGAGAGCUGUCGGCUCAUAACCGGCUGGUCCUCGGUUCGAAUCCGAGCGGGCCCA